GAUGAACGCUAGCGACAGGCUUAACACAUGCAAGUAGAGGGGCAGCACAGGUAGCAAUACCGGGUGGCGACCGGCGCACGGGUGAGUAACGCGUAUGCAACUUGCCUAUCAGAGGGGGAUAACCCGGCGAAAGUCGGACUAAUACCGCAUGAAGCAGGGGCCCCGCAUGGGGAUAUUUGCUAAAGAUUCAUCGCUGAUAGAUAGGCAUGCGUUCCAUUAGGCAGUUGGCGGGGUAACGGCCCACCAAACCGACGAUGGAUAGGGGUUCUGAGAGGAAGGUCCCCCACAUUGGUACUGAGACACGGACCAAACUCCUACGGGAGGCAGCAGUGAGGAAUAUUGGUCAAUGGGCGUAAGCCUGAACCAGCCAAGUCGCGUGAGGGAUGAAGGUUCUAUGGAUCGUAAACCUCUUUUAUAAGGGAAUAAAGUGCGGGACGUGUCCCGUUUUGUAUGUACCUUAUGAAUAAGGAUCGGCUAACUCCGUGCCAGCAGCCGCGGUAAUACGGAGGAUCCGAGCGUUAUCCGGAUUUAUUGGGUUUAAAGGGUGCGUAGGCGGCCUUUUAAGUCAGCGGUGAAAGUCUGUGGCUCAACCAUAGAAUUGCCGUUGAAACUGGGGGGCUUGAGUAUGUUUGAGGCAGGCGGAAUGCGUGGUGUAGCGGUGAAAUGCAUAGAUAUCACGCAGAACCCCGAUUGCGAAGGCAGCCUGCCAAGCCAUUACUGACGCUGAUGCACGAAAGCGUGGGGAUCAAACAGGAUUAGAUACCCUGGUAGUCCACGCAGUAAACGAUGAUCACUAGCUGUUUGCGAUACACUGUAAGCGGCACAGCGAAAGCGUUAAGUGAUCCACCUGGGGAGUACGCCGGCAACGGUGAAACUCAAAGGAAUUGACGGGGGCCCGCACAAGCGGAGGAACAUGUGGUUUAAUUCGAUGAUACGCGAGGAACCUUACCCGGGUUUGAACGCAUUCGGACCGAGGUGGAAACACCUUUUCUAGCAAUAGCCGUUUGCGAGGUGGUGCAUGGUUGUCGUCAGCUCGUGCCGUGAGGUGUCGGCUUAAGUGCCAUAACGAGCGCAACCCUCGCCACUAGUUACUAACAGGUAAAGAUGAGGACUCUGGUGGGACUGCCAGCGUAAGCUGCGAGGAAGGCGGGGAGGACGUCAAAUCAGCACGGCCCUUACAUCCGGGGCGACACACGUGUUACAAUGGCGUGGACAAAGGGAUGUCACCUGGCGACAGGGAGCGAAUCCCCAAACCACGUCUCAGUUCGGAUCGGAGUGUGCAACCCGACUCCGUGAAGCUGGAUUCGCUAGUAAUCGCGCAUCAGCCAUGGCGCGGUGAAAAAGAUCCCGGGCCUUGCUCACCCCGCCCGUCA
rnacentral:rRNA from 1 species